rnacentral:rRNA from 1 species
UACAGAGGGGGCAAGCGUUAUUCGGAAUUAUUGGGCGUAAAGGGCGCGUAGGCGGCGAUUCAAGUGGCGGGUGAAAUCCCUCGGCUUAACCGAGGAACUGCCUGCCAGACUGGAUUACUUGAGUCCGGGAGAGGUGAGUGGAAUUCCCAGUGUAGCGGUGAAAUGCGUAGAUAUUGGGAGGAACACCAGUGGCGAAGGCGGCUCACUGGACCGGAACUGACGCUGAGGUGCGAAAGCGUGGGGAGCAAACAGG